UCUUCCCUCUGGCGGCGUGCCUAAUACAUGCAAGUCGAGCGAACGGACGAGAAGCUUGCUUCUCUGAUGUUAGCGGCGGACGGGUGAGUAACACGUGGAUAACCUACCUAUAAGACUGGGAUAACUUCGGGAAACCGUAGCUAAUACCGGAUAAUAUUUUGAACCGCAUGGUUCAAAAGUGAAAGACGGUCUUGCUGUCACUUAUAGAUGGAUCCGCGCUGCAUUAGCUAGUUGGUAAGGUAACGGCUUACCAAGGCAACGAUGCAUAGCCGACCUGAGAGGGUGAUCGGCCACACUGGAACUGAGACACGGUCCAGACUCCUACGGGAGGCAGCAGUAGGGAAUCUUCCGCAAAGGGCGAAAGCCUGACGGAGCAACGCCGCGUGAGUGAUGAAGGUCUUCGGAUCGUAAAACUCUGUUAUUAGUGAAGAACAUAUGUGUAAGUAACUGUGCACAUCUUGACGGUACCUAAUCAGAAAGCCACGGCUAACUACGUG
rnacentral:rRNA from 1 species